rnacentral:rRNA from 1 species
AUUGAACGCUGGCGGCAGGCCUAACACAUGCAAGUCGAGCGGAUGAAGGGAGCUUGCUCCUGGAUUCAGCGGCGGACGGGUGAGUAAUGCCUAGGAAUCUGCCUGGUAGUGGGGGAUAACGUCCGGAAACGGGCGCUAAUACCGCAUACGUCCUGAGGGAGAAAGUGGGGGAUCUUCGGACCUCACGCUAUCAGAUGAGCCUAGGUCGGAUUAGCUAGUUGGUGGGGUAAAGGCCUACCAAGGCGACGAUCCGUAACUGGUCUGAGAGGAUGAUCAGUCACACUGGAACUUAGACACGGUCCAGACUCCUACGGGAGGCAGCAGUGGGGAAUAUUGGACAAAGGGCGAAAGCCUGAUCCAGCCAUGCCGCGUGUGUGAAGAAGGUCUUCGGAUUGUAAAGCACUUUAAGUUGGGAGGAAGGGCAGUAAGUUAAUACCUUGCUGUUUUGACGUUACCAACAGAAUAAGCACCGGCUAACUUCGUG